UGGUUCUCGCAUCGAUGAAGAACGCAGCGAAACGCGAUAUGUAAUGUGAAUUGCAGAAUGUGAAUCAUCGAAUCUUUGAACGCACAUUGCGCCCUCUGGUAUUCCAGAGGGCAUACCUGUUUGAGCGUCAGUUCAUUCUCAAAGGAAACUUUGGUAUUGGCUGAAUAAAAGGUUGUAUCGGCUGAAAGGAAUUGGUUAGAACGGAUGUAAUAAGAUUUCAUCUAGCUAACUAGAAUUUCUUUUUUUGUUGACCUCAAAUCAGGUAAGACUACCCGCUGA
rnacentral:misc_RNA from 1 species